GGAUGAGUGAGUGAGCCUGGCUGAAACUAGCAGUUUACUAAACUGCCGUACUCGAAAGAGUACCGUGGGUCCGAAUCCCACCUCAUCCGC
rnacentral:tRNA from 1 species